CCCCAUACGGUACAGUACAGUCCCUAUACGGUACAGUCCCCAUACAGUACAGUACAGUCCCCAUACAGUACAGUACAGUCCCCAUACGGUACAGUCCCCAUACGGUACAACCCCCUCUGUCAGUGAUAUUACUAUAACAUACAGAUAGGUUACUAGCUACCCUCUGUCAGGGAUAUUACUAUAACAUACAGAUAGGUUACUAGCUACCCUCUGUAACAGAUAUUACUAUAACAUACAGAUAGGUUACUAGCUACCCUCUGUCAGGGAUAUUACUAUAACAUACAGAUAGGCUACUAGCUACCCUCUGUCAGGGAUAUUACUAUAACAUACAGAUAGGUUACUAGCUACCCUCUGUAAGAGAUAUUACUAUAACAUACAGAUAGGUUACUAGCUACCCUCUGUAACAG
rnacentral:lncRNA from 1 species